rnacentral:rRNA from 1 species
CCCAAGGGUCUGGCKGUUCGCCAUUUAAAGGGGUACGCGAGCUGGGUKUAGAACGUCGUGAGACAGUUCGGUCCCUAUCUGSCGUGGGCGCUGGAGAACUGAGGGGGGCUGCUCCUAGUACGAGAGGACCGGAGUGGACGCAUCACUGGUGUUCGGGUUGUCAUGCCAAUGGCACUGCCCGGUAGCUAAAUGCGGAAGAGAUAAGUGCUGAAAGCAUCUAAGCACGAAACUUGCCCCGAGAUGAGUUCUCCCUGACUCCUUGAGAGUCCUGAAGGAACGUUGAAGACGACGACGUUGAUAGGCCGGGUGUGUAAGCGCAGCGAUGCGUUGAGCUAACCGGUACUAAUGAACCGUGAGGCUUAACCUUACAACGCCGAAG